rnacentral:rRNA from 1 species
UACGAAGGGGGCUAGCGUUGCUCGGAAUCACUGGGCGUAAAGGGCGCGUAGGCGGCCAUUCAAGUCGGGGGUGAAAGCCCAGGGCUCAACCCUGGAAUUGCCUUCGAUACUGUUUGGCUAGAGACCGGAAGAGGUAAGUGGAACUACGAGUGUAGAGGUGAAAUUCGUAGAUAUUCGCAAGAACACCAGUGGCGAAGGCGGCUUACUGGUCCGGUUCUGACGCUGAGGCGCGAAAGCGUGGGGAGCAAACAGG